GUCACAAUAUUUCUUUUCCCAGCUAUAUAUACAUGUCACAAACACACAUAUAUCUAUCCAUGCAUAAUCACCAACAUCCAAUUUCAACAAACUAAGCUCAUCAAAUCAACUUGCAUUGCUCAGGAUGGGUAAGAUGAUGAGGAUGAUUUUAUUGGUGUUUGUGGUGGUGGCGAUGAUGAGUGGCUCCCACAAGGUGGAAGGCAGGGUGGCGGUGGCGGAGCAGCGGAAGCUGACGGCGGCGGAGGAUGAAGGAAUGGAUAGUGGUUUGCAGGAUAACCAUCAUGCUUACUCCAUACCAGACUUCAACCGCCAAGGUGGAAGAGCUCCCACCAAAUACUGAUCACUUAUAUAUAUCUCUCUCAUAUAUAUACAUAUAUAAAUGUGUGUGUGUGUGUGUGUGUGUGGCAAUAAGGUGCUCAAGAGAUCCAUGAUCCAUCCAUCUCUGUUGUAUAAAAUGAAAUGAAGGUUUGGUGUGAUGAGGAGCCAUAUAUAUAUGCAUUAGACUAAUAGAUAGUUAAGAAUUUGAAUCAUUGUAAAAUGAAGGAAAAAAUGGGGAAAACAAGAUUUUUAAUGAUAUAUAGUAUUAAUUUGUUGUUUU